AAUACGCCAUUAGGUGGAUGGCUUGGCUCAUCAAGCUGAUGAAGGACGCACUAAGUUGCGAAAAGGUUCGGGGAAGCGCAAGGAGCUAUUGAUCCGGACAUUUCUGAAUGUGAGUCAUAACUUCACAGUUAUUAUGAAAUUCUUCACUGAGUUUCAUAAGAGAAACGCGGGGAACUGAAUCAUCUUAGUACCCGCAGGAAAAGAAACCAAACGAGAUGCCCUAAGUAAAGUCGAUCGAAAGGGGCAGAGAACAAAGUGAAUCAGUAUAGGCGACUAUCACUGAGAUGUGCUGUUUGGACGAGCGAUAUCUACUUAUCACGUGACUUGAAAAUUUUUGGAAAAAGUUACCUUAGAGGGUGACAGUCCCGUAAAGGAAACGUUGUAAGCAGUAGCUCUGUUCCAGAUUACCAGGGGUCGGAAUUCCUCUGGGAAUUCGGGAGGCAGAUUCUUCUAAUUCUAAAUACUCGAUGAGACCGAUAGCGUACAAGUACCGCGAGGGAAAACUGAAAAGAACCCUUAAUAAGGGAGUUAAAAGACCCUGAAACCUAAUGGUUACGGCAAGUUGCGGCGUUACGGCGUCGCAGCGUUCCUUUCGGAUCAAGAGGUAGAGAGUGUAUGGUAGUAGCGAGACUAAGUACAUCUAGUACGAAGUCGUAGGGAAACCAAUAUGCCCGCAACAUGUGAGGGGCAAGGUGUGAAAGCGCCUGGAGUUACUGCUGUACGACCCGAAGCCGAGCGAGCUACUCCUGGUUAAGUUGAAGCGGAUUCCAAUCCGUGGAGGACUGUAGAAGUUCUACGUGCAUGUGUUUUCAUGAACUGGGAGUAGGAGUGAAAUGCCAAUCGUGCUUGGCGAUAGCUGGUUCCUCCCAAAGUGGGCCUAAGUCCAGCCUCUCCUGAGAUAGUUACGGGGGUAAAGAGACUGAUUUGGGAAGCAGGGUCGCAAUUGCGUCUCGUUCCUGAGUCAAACUCAGAAUACUGCAACGUCUAAGAAGGAGGGAGUCGGGGUGUAGGGGUAAGCUUUACAUCCGCGAGGGAAAGAACCCCAACUAAUGUUAAGGUCCCUAAGUGCUAGCUAAGUGUAAGUGAGGUUGUUUGCAACCAUAGACAGAGAGAAGGUAGGCUCAGAAGCAGUCACCCUAUAAUAAGUGCGUAACAGCUUACUCUUCGAGGUUGCAUGCGCUGAAAAUGGACGGGACUAAGCAAGCUACCGAGACAUUAGGGAACACAUAGUUUUGUGUUCGGGUAGGGAGGCGACCUGGAUGGGUAGAAGCGUGAAUAUAAGUUUGCGUGGACCGUCUUGGGUUUGAGGAUUCUACCAUUAGUAUUCAUCGAAGUGUGAUGAGAAUUCACACGGCCGUAAGGGCAAGGGUUUCUCCGCAAUGCUCGUCAUCGGAGAGUUAGUCGGCCCUAAUCCACAGCUUAACUGCAGAUCGUGGAGAAAGGGAAACACGUUAAUAUCCGUGUACUAUGUUGAUACGUGCGGCAACGCAAGAUUGUUAAGAGACAGUUUGGGGUAGGUUGUACAACAUUAUCUUGUUGUCUAAUACUCAUAAGUCCAUCGAGUCUCGUAAUGAGGAGAAGUGGAUUAAAGUGUAGAACAGCCCGUGUAUGCGGGUUCAAUCAAUCCCCGGAUUCCAUGAAAAUCUUAACAAUAAGGAUUCAAUAUAUCCGUACCCAGAACCAACACUGGUGCCCCUAGGUGAGAAGCCUAAGGCCUCAAGGGUGAAACUAGUUCAGGGAAAUCGGCAAAAUAGCCCCGUAACUUCGGAAGAAGGGGUCUCAGCGCUCGUGACUUUUAUAGUAUGCGAGUGCUGGGUGCAAUUACAAGGGGAUUCGGACUGUUUAAUUAAAACACAGCAGGCUGCAAAGGAGAAAUCCUUAGUAUAGCCGGCGACACCUGUCCACUGCAAGUAUCCGAAAACCUAUUCCAAUGGGUAUAAGGACUUGUAAACGACGGAGGUAACUAUGACCUUCUUAUGGUAGCGCAAUGCCUUGCCAUUUAAUUGAUGGCUUUGCCAAUGGUGUAACUCGAAUCCUGCUGUCCCGAACUUG
rnacentral:rRNA from 1 species